rnacentral:rRNA from 1 species
GGCAGGUACAGCGGGAAGCCAGGCGGCGACGCCGAGCGGAACCCGAAAACCUGUCUCAGUUCGGAUCGGAGUCUGCAACCCGACUCCGUGAAGCUGGAUUCGCUAGUAAUCGCGCAUCAGCCAUGGCGCGGUGAAUACGUUCCCGGGCCUUGUACACACCGCCCGUCAAGCCAUGGAAGCCGGGGGUGCCUGAAGUGUGCAGCCGCAAGGAGCGCCCUAAGGUAAAACCGGUGACUGGGGCUAAGUCGUAACAAGGUAGC